CGUUCCCGGGCCUUGUACACACCGCCCGUCACACCACGAAAGUCGGCAACACCCGAAGCCAGUGGCCCAACCCUUUUGGGAGGGAGCUGUCGAAGGUGGGUUGGCGAUUGGGGUG
rnacentral:rRNA from 1 species